UGAUCCAUUAAUGGCAAACCCUUAUUUAACUAAGUCAAAUCCUCACCUGACUGCUUAGAACCUUCACUUUUUACUAGUCUGGCAACAUCGCUUGUCCUAAAGCUCCUAUUAAAAAGAGGUGCUCAAUAGUGAGUCCAUUAUGCAAA
rfam:Populus trichocarpa scaffold_13_contig_310, whole genome shotgun sequence.